AUUGAACGCUGGCGGCAGGCCUAACACAUGCAAGUCGAACGAGUGGCGGACGGGUGAGUAAUGUCUGGGACACUGCCUGAUGGAGGGGGAUAACUACUGGAAACGGUAGCUAAUCCCGCAUACCAUCGGAUGUGCCCAGAUGUGAUUAGCUAGUAGGUGGGGUAACGGCUCACCUAGGCGACGAUCCCUAGCUGGUCUUAGAGGAUGACCAGCCACACUGGAACGGAGACACGGUCCAGACUCAUACGGUAGGCAGCAGUGGUGAAUAGUGCACAAGUGGCGCAAGCCUGACGCAGCCAUGCCGCGUGUAUGAAGAAGUCCUUCGGGUUGUAAAGUACUAUCAGCGGGGAGGCGGUACCCGCAGAAGAAGCACCGGCUAACUCCGUGCCAGCAGCCGCGGUAAUUC
rnacentral:rRNA from 1 species